rnacentral:rRNA from 1 species
UACGAAGGGGGCGAGCGUUGUUCGGAUUUACUGGGCGUAAAGGGCGCGUAGGCGGCCCUCCUAGUCGCGUGUGAAAGCCCCGGGCUCAACCUGGGAAUUGCGCGCGAAACGGGGGGGCUUGAGUUCGGGAGAGGAGCGUGGAAUUCCCAGUGUAGAGGUGAAAUUCGUAGAUAUUGGGAAGAACACCGGUGGCGAAGGCGGCGCUCUGGACCGAGACUGACGCUGAGGCGCGAAAGCUAGGGGAGCAAACGGG